UACAGAGGGUGCGAGCGUUGUCCGGAAUCACUGGGCGUAAAGGGCGCGUAGGCGGCCUGAUAAGUAGGGGGUGAAAUCCUGUGGCUCAACUGCAGGGCUGCCUCCUAGACUGUCGGGCUUGAGCACGGUAGAGGCAGAUGGAAUUCCCGGUGUAGCGGUGGAAUGCGUAGAGAUCGGGGAAGAACAUCGGUGGCGGAAGGCGGUCUGCUGGGCCGUUGCUGGACGGCUGAGGCACGAAGGCCCAGGGGAGCAAACGGGG
rnacentral:rRNA from 1 species